CUCUGGCUAGGUUGAAGCUUGUUCAUACUUUUUGAACCAGCCAACAUUUUUUUUUUUUUUCUUUUUGGCACGGAGCUGUUAGUUGAAAGCUGGAAAAGGGGAACACAUAAAAACUUGACAGAGUCGUUCUAGAAAUGAUUUGUAUUGCUCCAGAAAAGGGUCAGAGUUGAGCGGCUUGAGUCUCAAAAGAGCCAAAAGAAGACAAGGAACAAACAGCUGAAAGAAUUGAUCAGCCCGCAAUAACUGCACUUCACUUGGGCAGUAACAUGGUCCCUAAGCAAAGUUUCUAAAGGACGUAAGAUCGAGUUGCUUGAAAAGUCAUCUUCCUCAUUUAAAAUCGAGUUGUGAGGAUUCCACGGAACACCAAGAUGAGAGAGAGCCAUCGCCAGGCCUUCUAAUAGGUGUGAAUCAUGGUGCUAUGGGGAGAGUCGAUGAUUUACAGCUUUGGAGGGCGUGCAUGUGUAUGAUUAAGGGAUGUCCUUUGUCAAGACUAACAGUCAAAACAGGAAGAUAAAAAAGACAGUUUCAACUGUGAGGAUACAACUUUUGAUCCUUUCUGGACGUCUUAAAUGCAAGCAAGAGCAUCUUCCCAAGUUUCCUGUUUGUUUUUUUCCAAGGAGCUGUCCAUGACAAAGGUUAGUAUGUC